GACGAACGCUGGCGGCAUGCCUAAUACAUGCAAGUUGAACGAUGAUAUUCUCUGCUUGCAGAGAAUUGAAGAGUAGCGAACGGGUGAGUAACACGUGGGGAACCUGCCCAUGAGAGGGGGAUAACAUUCGGAAACGGAUGCUAAUACCGCAUAAUGCUUUGGACCGCCUGGUCCAGAGGCGAAAGACGGCUUUUGCUGUCACUCAUGGAUGGCCCCGCGCCGUAUUAGCUAGUUGGUGAGGUAAUGGCUCACCAAAGCUGUGAUACGUAGCCGACCUGAGAGGGUGAUCGGCCACACUGGGACUGAGACACGGCCCAGACUCCUACAGGAGGCAGCAGUAGGGAAUCUUCCACAAUGGGCGAAAGCCUGAUGGAGCAAUGCCGCGUGAAUGAAGAAGGUCUUCGGAUCGUAAAGUUCUGUUAUUAGAGAAGAACAAGUCAAGGAGUAACUGUCUUGACUUUGACGGUACCUAACCAGAAAGUCACGGCUAACUACGUG
rnacentral:rRNA from 1 species